rnacentral:rRNA from 1 species
UACGUAGGAUCCAAGCGUUGUCCGGAUUUACUGGGUGUAAAGGGUGCGCAGGCGGACUGGUGAGUCUGGGGUGAAAUCUCGCCGCUUAACGGCGAAACUGCCUUAGAUACUAUCAGUCUUGAAUCAGCGAGAGGUUCGUGGAAUUCCGAGUGUAGCAGUGAAAUGUGUAGAUAUUCGGAAGAACACCAGUGGCGAAGGCAGCGAGCUGGCGCUCGAUUGACGCUCAGGCACGAAAGCAUGGGGAUCAAACAGG